GGAUUAGAUACCCUGGUAGUCUAUGCCGUAAACGAUGGGUACUAGUUGGUGCGGGUAUUGACCCCUGCGCUGACGAAGCUAACGUAUUAAGUACCCCGCCUGGGGAGUACGGCCGCAAGGCUAAAACUCAAAGGAAUUGACGGGGACCCGCACAAGCGGUGGAGCAUGUGGAUUAAUUCGACGCAACGCGCAGAACCUUACCUGGCCUUGACUUGUAUUUGUAUGCCUCCCAAAAGGGGCGGACCUUCGGGAACAUUUACACAGGUGCUGCAUGGCUGUCGUCAGCUCGUGCCG
rnacentral:rRNA from 1 species